CCAAGAAGGGGGCGGGGGCGAGGGCGGGGGCGGAGGCGGAGAAUCAUCUUCAGGAAAAGCUUCCAACUUCAGCGGCUGCCAAGUUUCCAAAGCCAGACGGCAAAUCUGUUUUGAAACUGAAGAAGAGAUUGAAGUGGAGAAAAGACUUAAGGCAGAGAGAUUAUUGAAAGUCAAUGGCAAUCAAAAGGCUUGUCGAGAUGUUGCCCCUGGUGCGGAUGGCCCUGAGCAGGCUCUCACUUCGCAGAAUCCAGCGAGUUGCCACAAGUCGAAACUUCCAGACGAAGAAAUCCGAUUUCGAUGAUAAAUAUGGCCUGCCUAUCUUUGUAGGCGGAAGCCUUUUCUGCAUUGUUACCUGGGUGUACACGCUGAAACACUAUGACCUUGAGCAUUACGUGUCCCCCGUGGGGCGAGUCAGGCCGAAGAACUGGAAGAAGGAGUGAAGAAGGGCCGUCCUCCUACUUGAGCCGGGCUGGUGGCAUUCCGAGUUUAUUCCCGAAUUUACUUUGACUUAAACCAAGUAAAGGCAACCUGUUAUCAGCUGUAAUGCGAAGUUAUUAACGUGAUAAAUACAUUUGAAACAUAUAUACAUAUUUAGGUAAUUUAGGGAAAGUGAAGAAAAAUGUUUAUGGAACAGUUUGAAUGCACCGCCUUGUGCAAGAAGAUUUUAUUGGAAGAAAAACAUCUGGAGCACAAAAGGCAUAUAUGCAUAUAGUUCUCUUAAAAUAUUAAAAAUGCUUCAACAUAGUUUUAAUAUUUGAACAUCAGAAUAAAGUUGCUUAGUAAAGUU